rnacentral:rRNA from 1 species
AACUAUAACGGUCCUAAGGUAGCGAAAUUCCUUGUCAGGUAAGUUCUGACCCGCAUGAAAGGCGUAAUGAUUUGGGCACUGUCUCAACAGCCCGCCCGGCGAAAUUGUAGUACCGGUGAAGAUGCCGGUUACCCGCGACAAGACGGAAAGACCCCAUGGAGCUUUACUGUAGCCUAAUAUUGGGUUUCGAUGUUGCAUGCACAGGAUAGAUGGGACACUGGGAAACAAGUGCUUUGGCAUUUGUGGAGUGGCCGUUGGGAUACCAUCCUUGCGAUAUUGGAAUUCUAACCUGCGCCUUUGAAUCAAGGCGGGGGACAUUGUUAGGUGGGCAGUUUGACUGGGGCGGUCGCCUCCUAAAGAGUAACGGAGGCGUUCAAAGGUUCGCUCAGCUUGAACGGAAAUCAAGCAAAAGAGUGCAAACGCAGAAGCGAGCCUAACUGCGAGACUGACGGGUCGAGCAGUAACGAAAGUUGGAGUUAGUGAUCCGGUGGUAUGUGAGUGGAAAUGCCAUCGCUCAACGGAUAAAAGUUACCCUGGGGAUAACAGGCUGAUCUCCCCCAAGAGUCCACAUCGACGGGGAGGUUUGGCACCUCGAUGUCGGCUCAUCGCAUCCUGGGGCUGUAUUCGGUCCCAAGGGUUUGGCUGUUCGCCAAUUAAAGCGGUACGCGAGCUGGGUUCAGAACGUCGUGAGACAGUUCGGUCCCUAUCUGUCGUGGGCGCAGGAUAUUUGAUGGGAGCUGUUCCUAGUACGAGAGGACCGGAGCGGACGUACCUCUGGCGCACCAGUUGUUCUGCCAAGGGCAUAGCUGGGCAACUAUGUACGGAUCGGAUAAACGCUGAAAGCAUCUAAGCGUGAAGCCGACCCAAAGAUAAGAUAUCCCAUUGUUUCAAACAAGUAAGACCCCUUGAAGACUACAAGGUUGAUAGGCACGAUGUGUAAGUGGAGUGAUCCAUUCAGCAAG